UUCGUUGCGGAGGGCGUGCCCCCCCGUUCCGCCGCUUGGCCGGGGCGCCCUGGAGAUGGCGGCUCGCCUUCCGCCCGUGCCUGGUCUCGCUGCGACGCUGCAGGUUGGCGCUUCCUUUUCGGCCCCUGCGUCCGAGGCGCCUCCAUUUCUGUGCUGUGGUAAAACCUAGAGGUCAUAAACGUUUGUUUAUCAACUGUUACCGUAACAGCGGAGGAGAAAGAAAGGCUGAGCAUCAGCAGCGGCGGUCUGUAAAUAUGUACUCCUGGCUACGUUAACUACAAUUAAAAGAACAUAAAAAGUAUGGAUAUGAGGACUGAAUUUGUCUUCAUUGUAAAUACACAUACGAUUCAGCUUAUUGCAUUUCAUAACACGUUCCAGCAUCUGAUCUCAAAAUUGCAGACAACUUUGAUGAAUUUAAAAAGGCGAUGCCUUAUAAAAUAUGCGGAACUGAAGUCUCAUGUCCAGAAAAAGCUCCCGUUGGUACAAGCUGCAGCCGCCCAUCUGCCUAGCAACACAGAUCAUCACAAACAAAUCAUCUAAGAGCACCCUGACUCCCAACGAAUGCUGAGUCCAAAUACGGUCUCUGUAUUGACAGUUCAAUCCUCUUCGUGCAAUUCUUUUUGCCAGCAUUAGGUACCUCCUUCGUGACCAUGACCUCUGAUCCGAGGUAUGUUCUGUUGGACUGAUGAGGCUGUUGGCUAAAAUAAUGAGACUUGCACAUGUGGUCAUCAGUGUUUCUAAAUGUCUGGACAAGUUACAACCAUUAGACAUGCCUUAGCCAAUUCAGAGCUAAAUACCAGCCUCAUCUCUUUGAUUCAGCUUUCCAAAAUCUGACACUGUGAUUUUGACCAGUACUUUAGUGUGAUUUUCCUUUCCCCUUUUAACCACUUUUAUCCCAAGAUUAAAAAAGGGAUUUAUCAUAGUUAAAUAGUAUUUGAGGGGAAGAUCAUGAAUCAUCAAGUGAUCAUCGCUCACAUUAUUUGUUUUGGUCAUAUUACUAGUUACAGGCAUGACUACAACCCUUCACAGGACCUGAUUUCAUCUGAUCAAUGAAAGUGAUAAGUUUUGCAGGCUGAGUAUCCACCUCAUAUGGAAUUAUUUUGGAAGAUUUCAGCAAAACCAGUUCAACAGUUCAAGCUCUAGCGCAAAGGCUUGCAAUUUGGCAGUGAGCGCUCUCAUCGUCAGGAUUAUGCUUCUUCUGUCCACUUGAAAAAUCCACCCCAAAUUUGGACAAACGAUGAGAGUGCAAAUUUUAGGCAACGUUUGGCCAACAGGAGGUCCUUCAGAGAGUAGCAGCUACGUUCUUUUGUUUGCACCGACUGCAUUCCAAGCUGAAAGUGUAGAAGCAAUGAAAGGGGAAAAAGGGUAAUGGGCUGUUCGAGGGAACACUGCUCUCCACAGACUUUAGGCCAGGACCCAGCUUACCUAUCAUCGUUCCUCGGCUGUCAGCAAAUACCUUUGGUACUCUUGGCAGAACGUAUGGCUUAUCUCCCUCCGAGGGCAGACCCAGACAAAUAAUGAUAACCUGUAUUGCUAUGAGUCAGUUUAAGUAGCAGUGGUCUGUGCUCUAGAUAAAGAGAUUCUCAUCCAAUGGAUAAAGUCUUUGGGAAUCACAACUGUUCCAUAUAGCAGAAUUUGGGAGGUUUUUUUUUUUUUUUGUAGCUUUCUUCGACUUCUAGGAACGUGUAGGUGUCGUUAAGAUUGCAGAGUUAAUGCAGUCUUAAUGACAAGCAAUCUUAAUCGACACAAGUUACGAAAUUAUGACAUUAAGGUUACUCUCUAAUUUUGAGAUGCUCUCUCUGCAUGUGCAUUUUAAUGACAAAACCAUACUGAGUAUUUCUUUCCUUUAAAGGAGUUCUCUUCUUUCUCCUUUUUUCUUUUCUUUGAACAUAUUUUUAUUCAGAAGAUAAGAAUUGAUUUAGAAACGUUUGCUAUUUGAUAUGACAGCUCAUUGUUACUUACUUAAUUUAUAUAAUUAUUAUUGUUGUUAGUUCAUGCAGUGCUGCAUUCAGCUACAAGAAUAAAAUUGAAGAGAUACAGUGUGCUUAUUCUUGA
rnacentral:lncRNA from 1 species